rnacentral:rRNA from 1 species
GCGGAGGAAAAGAAACCAACAGGGAUUGCCCUAGUAACGGCGAGUGAAGCGGCAACAGCUCAAAUUUGAAAUCUGGCUUCGGCCCGAGUUGUAAUUUGCAGAGGAAGCUUUAGGCGCGGCACCUUCUGAGUCCCCUGGAACGGGGCGCCAUAGAGGGUGAGAGCCCCGUAUAGUUGGAUGCCUAGCCUGUGUAAAGCUCCUUCGACGAGUCGAGUAGUUUGGGAAUGCUGCUCAAAAUGGGAGGUAAAUUUCUUCUAAAGCUAAAUACCGGCCAGAGACCGAUAGCGCACAAGUAGAGUGAUCGAAAGAUGAAAAGCACUUUGAAAAGAGGGUUAAAUAGCACGUGAAAUUGUUGAAAGGGAAGCGCUUGUGACCAGACUUGCGCCGGGCGGAUCAUCCGGUGUUCUCACCGGUGCACUCCGCCCGGCUCAGGCCAGCAUCGGUUCUCGCGGGGGGAUAAAGGUCCUGGGAACGUAGCUCCUCCGGGAGUGUUAUAGCCCGGGGCGUAAUGCCCUCGCGGGGACCGAGGUUCGCGCAUCUGCAAGGAUGCUGGCGUAAUGGUCAUCAGCGACCCGUCUUGAAACACGGACCAAGGAGUCAAGGUUUUGCGCGAGUGUUUGGGUGUAAAACCCGCACGCGUAAUGAAAGUGAACGUAGGUGAGAGCUUCGGCGCAUCAUCGACCGAUCCUGAUGUUUUCGGAUGGAUUUGAGUAGGAGCGUUAAGCCUUGGACCCGAAAGAUGGUGAACUAUGCUUGGAUAGGGUGAAGCCAGAGGAAACUCUGGUGGAGGCUCGCAGCGGUUCUGACGUGCAAAUCGAUCGUCAAAUCUGAGCAUGGGGGCGAAAGA